UUAGCUAACAACUUGGGAAAUUGGUUUCCUGCUCCGGUUGUGCCGAAGGCCUUUCAUCGUUCUGAUGAAGACCAGCCAGUGGACAUUCCAGUCUGGACCGGAAGACGCAUGGCUGCCAUGAAAGGCUCACUCAGAGGCAGAAGGCAGCUCUUUCCAUCAAGACCCGAUUCUCGGUGGAGGGGAAUAUCGGCGCUUCAGACCAGGGACAGGCCGUGAAGUUGUUCUCAGCCUGAGAACCAUUCUCCAGAUCUAGUCCUUCAUUCCAAUCCCUCUCCUACUCUCUUUAAUCUCAGCUGUUGGGACACAUUCUUCUUCUGUGCAACAUGCAGCCUUCUCCAAGUGAGAAGCAGCUUUGGAGACUUUCUCUUGAAAGGUUAUCCCUGAGCGGUGGGAGACUUCCAUGUACCUGUCCCCCUCUGCCUGCAGGCCCGCUCCCUCUGUCUGUCCCCCGGUUUGGGGUAGAAAACCUUAAUAAGGAGCCAUCCUGUGAGAGCCUUGAAGGCGUCUACAGUGAGGAUAAGGUGAGGUGUUCGUUAUACCCUGAAGUGACCAUCUUCUGAGGUCUUCUUGUCUUACGGUUGGGACCCCGUGUUCUCCUGAGGAAGUGGUCGGCUUCUGUUGCAGGGACUCCGUAAACCAGUCCCAGGGCACACACUGAAGGGCCCGUGGGCGAUGCAGGUGACGGACGCGGGGCGUGGGCAGGGCAGCCACGUGGGGGGCUGUGUGGGCUCCAUGCCUACGUCCGCCCGGCUGAUGGCCGCGGCGGAAGGCAGGCUGAUUUUUUAAAGUAAAGGUAACCUGGGAAUACUUCCAAACGAAAUGAAAUAUCCCAAUUUUUAAGGUUGGCAACCAAACAACUGAAAAAUAAACAAAUAAGUGUAAAUAAACCAAUAGAAAAAGAGUCGCAAACAAGACGCUGGGAAGGCCCAGACCGAGCACAUCCGUGGGGCACAUCCAGCCACAAGCCACCGUCUGCACCUUCUGCUGGACCUGCUUCCAUCGGCUGCCAGACCCCUGGCCAUGGCCCACCCUCGGCAAGCCCAGGGGCGCCCUGCGUUUUCUGUGUUAAUUGUAUUUCAGGCUUCAUUUUAUGCAGCCUUGGUUUUCUGGGGUUUUUGUGUUUUUUUUGCUUCAUCCUCAUCACUUAAUCCUUUGAUCAUGGUAUGGCUAAGUCGCAUGUCCCACUGAAGGGAGCUUUCUGGAAUAAGAAAGGAAGGUCAGCAAGGACUUGGCUGCAGCUCCCUUUCUUCCCUGUUCUCCCAGGCCUGCUCGUUUGGACGAGUCUUCAGGUUUCCACCAUUUUUCCUACUGAUGAGACCUUGGAAGAGGAAGGAGAAAGGGUGGGGCCCCCAUGGGGUCCCUGGAAAACCUCAGCUGGAAUACCUCUGACUUUGGGGGUGUGGAGAGAGGGAACCCAGGAGAAGGCGUGGGGAGGUGAGCUGGGGCAGGACGCUCACCUGGGCUCUUAGACCAUUUAUAGCAUGAGAGCGGAGGGCAACUGGUAUGUUUUCACAAAGUGAACAUGUGAUUUUCUCGGUUAGAUGUCUGUCUUCAUUCAGAUGUCAUUGGGUGGGUAUGUCCCAACAUGAUGGCCGGAUAACAAUUACCCCCUAAACUGAAUGGCAUAAAACAGCCCUGCACCCCAUUCAUGGAACCGGGGGUCAGGAGGUCGGUCAGGCCCGAGUGAGGGGGCCUUGCCGUGCCUGCGGCACUCUGUCCCCCUGGCCCGAGACUGCUCUGUGCCCCCCCACACGUGUCAGUGCUGGCAUCGCCCCAACUUCUGCCACCUCACAAGGCCACCAUAUCAUCUCGCAAGUGAGCGGCAGACACAGAGCAUCUGGAAAAAUGCGUUAUUGCAAAGCUAAGUUUUACGCUUUGCCCUCUGUCUUCUUGAAUAAGCUGGACUUUGUAAAAACAGCAGAAGCGAGGCCAAGUUGCUCGCUUGUUUACCCUACGAGGCCUCUGCGAAGUCUCAGGCCGACACACAGGAUUCACAACUUGUUCUGAGAUCCCAUGAAGCUCCUGAAGUCAAAAACACACGUGACGUGAUGCAUGGUUCACAGAGGACAGUUUCCGAGGUAUCAUGCUAAAACACAGAAAUACAUUUCCUUUAGCGCUUUCCUUUUUGGGCUUCUUGACAUCUAAUAGCUCUACGCUGCCCCUGUGAGCCAAUAAAUAACACAGCCAAAGGAUUCCACAAAUCUAGAAGGUCGCUGUGUGUGCAUCCUCUGUGUGUCAAGAGAAAGUUUGGUUCAAAGCAAAAGCAAGUUUAUUUGGGGAACUGGUGACUUGGAAAAACAGCUGCAAAAAGAAAUGGGAAAUAAA